rnacentral:lncRNA from 1 species
AAUGUCAAAAAUAAAAUAGGAAAGACAAUGAGGAAUAUGCAUGAUGAAGAUUGCCCAAAUAAAAAAACAUACCAAUUGAUAGAAAAGAAACAUAUCAAAUGUUAUUUUUAUCAAAAUGAUAUCAAUUGUAAUUGUUAGCAAAACAUAUUACUUAUUUCCAUAUCAACUGUUAAUUUUUAACACAAACAGGAGUUAUAAUCAUCAAAACAUGAAUCAUUUAUUUAAAAAAUAUACCAAUUGUUAAAACAUAUCGACUCUUAGGUUUUAUCAAAAAUGAUGACUGACCGAAAUUCCCCCUUGAUGCAAUAAGAUUUCGUGCUUGGUGCAUCUACUACAACAUUGUAGUCUUCAAGCACACCUGCAAACGUACCUAAAAAUAGUUUUUAGNNN